GUUUGAUGACUGAUAGAUUUAAAACCACAAGUCUACAGUGUGUUCCAUGGGCAGGCUGCUUUUGAAUGAGUUUAUAUUAAAGUUUCAGAAGACGGAGUGAAGACCAAGACAUAGUAAAUAGGCACUUCGCUUUCCUAAGCUAUUACUGCUGUGUACUGUUUACUUCCCCAUCUUACCUCUGGCUACUAUGUAUAACUAGGGAGCCAACACAUUGUUUUGAAAUGGUAAUAAUGAUACUGAUGUAAGGUAUUGACCUGAAUGUAGAAGCUAGAGUGGCCAUUGGUACAAUCACUUAUUUGCAUUGACUUACGGCCUUGGGGGAGCCAAAGAGUGCAUGCUGGUCACUACCCUGGCCUGAUAGCCUCAGAACACAUGGUGCAUCAUGACCUGUGGAAUGAAGUGAAAGACUGACUGAGGCUCGCACUGCUUCCCUCAGGGAAAUGCUGAAUGGAAGGUGCUCUAUCCCUUCCUUAAUUGGCCAUGCCCGUGAGUGAGUACAGUGCAUAUUCUGGGCUUUCACCUCAGUGAUAUCACCGAAACUUGACGUUUUUCUCACAGCAGAGUUGAUGAUAGCAGACACUAGAAUUUAAAGUUUGAAAAUGUAGUAUUUUCAUAGAUUGUCAUCUAAUAAUUGAUAGUUUUCCGCAUUAGCUAAUAUAUGCUUAUUUAUGUUAAUGUAUGUCCAUUAAAAUUUGAGUAUGAAAUGUCCCUCACGGGCACAUGUAUUGACUGUUUUGUGGCACAUGCUCAAUGCUUGCUUCCUAGACACUUUAGAAGUUGAUAAAAACUUUUGAGAGGCAAAGCCUGAGGGAAGAAGUAUGUUCCCUGGGGGCCUGCUUUUGGCUAGUAGACCUCAUUUCUAGUUACUCCCUUUCAUUUCUUUCUGCUACCAGAGGCGAAAACCUGCCCAACCACUUGCUUCAACCACAGCGACGUAUUGCUGAGCUACAUGGAGCCAAUCAGCCAUGAGAUGAAACAGAUAAACCUACUAGAUUGAACUGGAGCUUUCUGGAUGAGAGACAAUUCCUUUACUACUGAGGUACACCCUACCCAUUCUAUAUAGUAGUGCUGGGGAUAAAAACCAAGGGCUUUGUGCAUGCUUUUCAAGCACACUUCACUUAGCUACCCACAAUCUCUGCUUGUGAUGUAAUCUUUAAAGUAUGUGCUAAAAUGACACCAAAUUAGUGCUAUGACAGAG
rnacentral:lncRNA from 1 species